CAGCAGCCGCGGUAAUACAGAGGGUGCGAGCGUUAAUCGGAUUUACUGGGCGUAAAGCGUGCGUAGGCGGCUUUUUAAGUCGGAUGUGAAAUCCCUGAGCUUAACUUAGGAAUUGCAUUCGAUACUGGGAAGCUAGAGUAUGGGAGAGGAUGGUAGAAUUCCAGGUGUAGCGGUGAAAUGCGUAGAGAUCUGGAGGAAUACCGAUGGCGAAGGCAGCCAUCUGGCCUAAUACUGACGCUGAGGUACGAAAGCAUGGGGAGCAAACAGGAUUAGAGACCCCGGUAGUCCCUGUCUCUUAUAA
rnacentral:rRNA from 1 species